CCUACGGGGGGCUGCAGUGGGGAAUAUUGGACAAUGGGGGCAACCCUGAUCCAGCCAUGCCGCGUGUGUGAAGAAGGCCCUCGGGUUGUAAAGCACUUUCAGUGAGGAAGAACGCCUGGUGGUUAAUACCCAUCAGGAAAGACAUCACUCACAGAAGAAGCACCGGCUAACUCCGUGCCAGCAGCCGCGGUAAUACGGAGGGUGCGAGCGUUAAUCGGAAUUACUGGGCGUAAAGCGCGCGUAGGUGGCUUGAUAAGCCGGUUGUGAAAGCCCCGGGCUCAACCUGGGAACGGCAUCCGGAACUGUCAAGCUAGAGUGCAGGAGAGGAAGGUAGAAUUCCCGGGGUAGAGGUGAAAUGCGUAGAGAUCGGGAGGAAUACCAGUGGCGAAGGCGGCCUUCUGGACUGACACUGACACUGAGGUGCGAAAGCGUGGGUAGCAAACAGGAUUAGAUACCCUUGUAGUC
rnacentral:rRNA from 1 species